CGUCUGCAUCGGGCUGGCGGGUCGUCGCCCGUUGGGGCCGGGCGUCGGUGACGUUCUCGCUCGUCGUGCUGCUGG
rnacentral:tRNA from 1 species